rnacentral:SRP_RNA from 1 species
GCCGGGCGUGGUGGCUCACGCCUGUAAUCCCAGCACUUUGGGAGGCUGAGAUGGGCGGAUCACUUGAGGUCAGGAGUUUGAGAGUAGCCUGGCCAACAUGGUGAAACCCCGUCUCUA